UAGUACGGCGAGUGAAGCGGGAAGAGCUCAAGCUUAAAAUCUCCGUGCAAGUUUUGCGCGGCGAAUUGUAGUCUAUAGAGGCGUGGUCAGCGUGGGCGCUUGGGGCAAGUUCCUUGGAAGAGGACAGCAUGGAGGGUGAUACUCCCGUUCAUCCCUGAGUGGCUCGUGCGUACGACCCGUUUUCUUUGAGUCGCGUUGUUUGGGAAUGCAGCGCAAAGUAGGUGGUAAAUUCCAUCUAAAGCUAAAUAUUGGUGCGAGACCGAUAGCGAACAAGUACCGUGAGGGAAAGAUGAAAAGAACUUUGAAAAGAGAGUUAAAGAGUACCUGAAACUGCUGAAAGGGAACCGAAUCGUUUCCAGUGUCUAUAAUCUGUGGCAUAUUUCAUUGGCGAGCGUUUGCGUGCAUGUGCUGUGGCAGUGGCUUUUUUGGCUGCGCCUGGUGUGUGUGGUGUGAGUGUUUGCUGGUGCCCUGUGCUGCGGUGGGACGUCAAGGUCAGUUCGUAUGCUGCGGGAAAUGGCUGCCGAGGAGGUAGGGCUUACGCUCCGCGUUUGUCUGUUAUAUCUUGGUGGACGAGUCGUCGCGGUUGGGACUGAGGUGCCUACAACGUGCUUUUGAGUGGGUUUGUGUCUCCGUGUGCGCCGUGUGCGGAUAGCUUGCUAUGCGUGUGUGGUUGUGUGUGGAUGGAUGCGGGCCUUAACUUGUCGCCGUUC
rnacentral:rRNA from 1 species